CCGGCGUGCUUUACCCCAUGCAAGUCGAGCGGUAAGGCCUCUUCGAGGGGUACACGAGCGGCGAACGGGUGAUACCGUGAGCAACCUACCCUCAACUAUUGGGAUAAAGCCUCGGAAACGUGGGUCUAAUACCGAAUAUCAUCUCCUGCUUCAUGGUGGGGGGUUGAAAGUUCUGGCGGUUGGGGACGGGCUCGCGGCCUAUCAGCUUGUUGGUGGGGUAAUGGCCUACCAAGGCGUCGACGGGUAGCCGGCCUGAGAGGGCGACCGGCCACACUGGGACUGAGACACGGCCCAGACUCCCUACGGGAGGCAGCAGUAGGGAAUCUUCCGCAAUGGACGAAAGUCUGACGGAGCAACGCCGCGUGAGUGAUGAAGGUUUUCGGAUCGUAAAACUCUGUAGUAAGGGAAAGAACAAAGUAUGAGAGUAACUGCUACGUAACCUUUGACGGUAACCUAAACCCAGAAAAGCCACGAGGCUAAACUAACGUUAGCCAAGCAAGCCCGCCGGAUAAAAUAACCGUAACAGGUUAAGCAAAGGCCGCUAGGGUACACCGAGGAAAUUAAAAUAAGGGAAGACCGGUUAAAAAAGGCAAGACAGCCCGUGCCAAUAGACAUAGGGUACCCCAUAUAAUAAAAAAGCUAACCUUAGGUA
rnacentral:rRNA from 1 species